CCNUGGNNUCCUGUCGGNGGAGUUUGNUNCCNGCUCAGUCNAGCNUCCGGAAGGUACCUUNCUACCGGGANCUAGCGGCGGACGGGUGAGUAAUGCUUAGGAAUCUGCCUAUUAGUGGGGGACAACAUCUCGAAAGGGAUGCUAAUACCGCAUACGUCCUACGGGAGAAAGCAGGGGAUCUUCGGACCUUGCGCUAAUANAUGAGCCUAAGUCGGAUUAGCUAGUUGGUGGGGUAAAGGCCUACCAAGGCGACGAUCUGUAGCGGGUCUGAGAGGAUGAUCCGCCACACUGGGACUGAGACACGGCCCANACUCCUACGGGAGGCAGCAGUGGGGAAUAUUGGACAAUGGGGGGAACCCUGAUCCAGCCAUGCCGCGUGUGUGAAGAAGGCCUUAUGGUUGUAAAGCACUUUAAGCGANNAGGAGGCUACUUUAGUUAAUACCUAGAGAUAGUGGACGUUACUCGCAAAAUAAGCACCGGCUAACUCUGUGCCAGCANCCGCGGUAAUACAGAGGGUGCGAGCGUUAAUCGGAUUUACUGGGCGUAAAGCGUGCGUAGGCGGCUUAUUAAGUCGGAUGUGAAAUCCCCGANCUUAACUUGGGAAUUGCAUUCCNAUACUGGUGAGCUAAAUUAUGGGGAAAGGNAUGGUUANAAUUCCAGGUGUANCGGUGAAANUGCGUAAAANCUGGAGGAAUACCGUGGCGAAGGCAGCCNUCUGGNCUAAUAAUGCCCCUGAGGGUCCCAANGCAUGGGGAGCAAAACAGGAUUAAANACCNNGGGUAANNCNUUGCCGUAAAACGAUNUNUUNAUUANCCGNUGGGGCCUUUUGANNGCUUNAUGGGCCCAACCUACCNGNANAA
rnacentral:rRNA from 1 species